rnacentral:tRNA from 1 species
GCCGGAGUGGUGGAACUGGCAGACGCGCUGGACUCAAAAUCCAGUGUCCUUCGGGACGUGUGGGUUCGAGCCCCACCUCCGGCACCA